AACUGCUUUUGUAUGGGGAUAAAGUCNAUCACGUGUGAUUGUUUGCAGGUACCAUACGAAUAAGGACCGGCUAAUUCCGUGCCAGCAGCCGCGGUAAUACGGAAGGUCCGGGCGUUAUCCGGAUUUAUUGGGUUUAAAGGGAGCGUAGGCUGGAGAUUAAGUGUGUUGUGAAAUGUAGACGCUCAACGUCUGACUUGCAGCGCAUACUGGUUUCCUUGAGUACGCACAACGUUGGCGGAAUUCGUCGUGUAGCGGUGAAAUGCUUAGAUAUGACGAAGAACUCCGAUUGCGAAGGCAGCUGACGGGAGCGCAACUGACGCUGAAGCUCGAAGGUGCGGGUAUCGAACAGGAUUAGAUACCCUGGUAGUCC
rnacentral:rRNA from 1 species